CCUACGGGAGGCUGCAGUGAGGAAUAUUGGUCAAUGGGAGAGAUCCUGAACCAGCCAAGCCGCGUGAGGGAAGACGGCCCUAUGGGUUGUAAACCUCUUUUGUCUGAGAACAAAACCCGGGUCGUGUCCCGGACUGCGUGUAUCCGAAGAAAAAGCAUCGGCUAACUCCGUGCCAGCAGCCCCGGUAAUAGGGAGGAUGCGAGCGUUAUCCGGUUUUAUUGGGUUUAAGGGGUGCGAAGGCGGUCCGUUAAGUCAGCGGUAAAAUUGCCGGGUUCACCCCCGACGAGCAGUUGAAACUGGCAGACUUGAGUGGGCGAGAAGUAGGCGGAAUGCGCGGUGUAGCGGUGAAAUGCAUAGAUAUCGCGCAGAACUCCGAUUGCGAAGGCAGCGGACCGGCGCCAGACUGACGCUGAGGCACGAAAGCGUGGGGAUCGAACAGGAUUAGAUACCCUAGUAGUC
rnacentral:rRNA from 1 species